rnacentral:rRNA from 1 species
UGGGGAAUAUUGGACAAUGGGCGAAAGCCUGAUCCAGCCAUGCCGCGUGUGUGAAGAAGGUCUUCGGAUUGUAAAGCACUUUAAGUUGGGAGGAAGGGCAUUAACCUAAUACGUUAGUGUUUUGACGUUACCGACAGAAUAAGCACCGGCUAACUCUGUGCCAGCAGCCGCGGUAAUACAGAGGGUGCAAGCGUUAAUCGGAAUUACUGGGCGUAAAGCGCGCGUAGGUGGUUUGUUAAGUUGGAUGUGAAAUCCACGGGCUCAACCUGGGAACUGCAUUCAAAACUGACUGACUAGAGUAUGGUAGAGGGUGGUGGAAUUUCCUGUGUAGCGGUGAAAUGCGUAGAUAUAGGAAGGAACACCAGUGGCGAAGGCGGCCACCUGGACUAAUACUGACACUGAGGUGCGAAAGCGUGGGGAGCAAACA